rnacentral:rRNA from 1 species
AGAGUUUGAUCCUGGCUCAGAACCAUUUCUGGUAGCGUGGAUUAGGCAUGCAAGUCGAACGGGAUCGGAGAUGUAGCAAUACAGCUCCGUGAGAGUGGCGGAUUGGGGAGGAACACGUGAGCAACCUGCCCUUGAGUUCGGGAAAACCGUUGGAAACGACGGCUAAUACCGGAUGUGGCGUCUGACGACAUCGUCGGAACGCUAAAGGGGGCCGCAAGGCUCCCGCUCAUCGAGGGGCUCGCGCAUCAUCAGCUUGUUGGCGGGGUAACGGCCCACCAAGGCAUACGAUUAGCUGGUCUGAGAGGAUGACCAGCCCCACUGGGACUGAGAUACUGCCCAGACUCCUACGGGAGGCUGCAGUCGAGGAUCAUUUGCAAUGGGCGAAAGCCUGACAAUGCGACGCUGCGUGGAGGAUGAAGGCCUUCGGGUUGUAAACUCCUGUCAUAAGGGAACAGGCGAGGGGUGCCAAUACCACCCUUAGUUGAGUGUACUUUAAGAGGAAGCGACGGCUAACUCUGUGCCAGCAGCCGCGGUAAUACAGAGGUCGCAAGCGUUGUUCGGAUUUACUGGGUGUAAAGGGCGCGUAGGCGGUCCCAUGUGUCGGAUGUGAAAUCUCCGGGCUCAACCCGGAAAGUGCGUCCGAAACUGUGGGACUCGAGUCUGGGAGAGGGAAUCGGAAUAUAGGGUGUAGCGGUGAAAUGCGUUGAUAUCCUAUAGAACACCGGAGGCGGAGGCGGAUUCCUGGAACGGUACUGACGCUGAGGCGCGUAAAGUCAGGGGGAGCAAACAGGAUUAGAUACCCUGGUAGUCCCGACCUUAAACG